rnacentral:rRNA from 1 species
GAUGAACGCUAGCGGCAGGCCUAAUACAUGCAAGUCGAACGGUGUCUUCGGACAUAGUGGCGCACGGGUGCGUAACACGUAUGCAACCUACCUUACAUUGGGGGAUAGCCCUUCGAAAGGGAGAUUAAUACCGCAUAAGACAGUAGCUGGGCAUCCAGCAGCUGUUAAAGAUUUAUCGAUGUAAGCUGGGCAUGCGUCCAAUUAGCUAGUUGGUGAGGUAACGGCUCACCAAGGCAAUGAUUGGUAGGGGAACUGAGAGGUCAAUCCCCCACACUGGCACUGAGAUACGGGCCAGACUCCUACGGGAGGCAGCAGUAGGGAAUAUUGGGCAAUGACGCAAGUCUGACCCAGCCAUGCCGCGUGCAGUAUGAAGGCGUUAUGCGUUGUAAACUGCUUUUAUACAGGAAGAAACGACUCUUGCGAGAGGCAUUGACGGUACUGUAUGAAUAAGCACCGGCUAACUCUGUGCCAGCCGCCGCCGUAACAC